rnacentral:rRNA from 1 species
CCUACGGGUGGCUGCAGUGGGGAAUAUUGGGCAAUGGAGGCAACUCUGACCCAGCAACGCCGCGUGAAUGAUGAAGGUCUUCGGAUUGUAAAGUUCUGUGAUGGGGGAUGAACACAAUGACGGUACCCCAAUAGCAAGCCACGGCUAACUACGUGCCAGCAGCCGCGGUAAUACGUAGGUGGCAAGCGUUAUCCGGAAUGACUGGGCGUAAAGGGUGCGUAGGUGGUUUAGUAAGUUGGCGGUGAAAUUCCGGGGCGCAACCUCGGCGCUACCGCCAAAACUAUUAGACUAGAGUGCAGGAGGGGUAAGUGGAAUGUCUGGUGUAGCGGUGGAAUGCGUAGAUAUUAGGAGGAACACCAGUGGCGAAGGCGGCCUGCUGGACUGUAACUGACGUUGAGGCUCGAAAGCGUGGGGAGCAAACAGGAUUAGAUACCCCAGUAGUC